AAGUCGUAACAAGGUCUCCGUAGGUGAACCUGCGGAGGGAUCAUUAACAAAUCAAACAAACAAACACUGUGUAACUGUCUGUUCCUGGGUCGUCGUUGUCGUCGCUGCUUUGGUGGUGAUGUGCGCGCGCCCAGGACCAACAACCUACAAACUAUUGUCAGAUGUGCAUUACAAACGUAAUCAAAAACAACUUUUAACAAUGGAUCUCUUGGCUCUU
rnacentral:misc_RNA from 1 species